rnacentral:rRNA from 16 species
GUUGUCGGCCAUACUAUGCCUAACGCACCAGAUCCCAUCCGAACUCUGAAGUUAAGCGGCAUAAGGCGAGGUUAGUACUUGGGUGGGGGACCGCCAGGGAAGCCCUCGUGCUGACAGCU